rnacentral:lncRNA from 1 species
CUCUUCCCUCUGAGGCCAGUAGCAGGAAGGGCCUCGGGAGUUGCGAGUGUCGCGAGGUUUGAGGUCGCUCGGUGGGCCGGGCGCUGUGCGAAGCUAGAAAUAACUGGGGGCAUGGAGAAUGCGGUGGCUGUAAAGGGCCGCUGAGGCGGUGGAGGCCUGGCAGAGAGCGUCCCCGCGGUCGCGGCUUCUGGCUUCUCUGUGGAGCUUGGUUCUUCCGUGGUGGUGCAGCACCCCAGGAACUUCAGGAACCAGUCCUUCCUUGGAGAGCUCCCCGGGACAGCCACGGGGGCCAAGUGAAACUAGCGCGUUUUCUUGGAUCCUACACUUUAUAUGUAAAGUGUUUUCCUCCGUACCAUCUGACGUUUCUGGCGGUUCGUUGAACGCGAGAGAACGCUGAGCCGUCUGCACUGAGCCCGGGAGCAUCUUCAGGGCAGCGCCGCCCACGCGCGAGGUGAAUGAAGGACACGGCCUCUUGACACUCCCAGGCAGCACAGAUAGACGGAUCCUGGCUAGAAGUGACCCCAGGAUUUUUUUAUUAUCAAGAGAGACUAGAAGAAUCAUGAGACUUUUCCUAGUUGCCUUUCAAGAAUAUGAAGAAAAAAAUGGUUCUCAAAGUGGGUUUGAAUGAGUAUUGUUCCAAUAAAUGAACUUAUAUUCAUAUUUCA